rnacentral:rRNA from 1 species
AUGUCGGAUUCCACCGGUGCCGCGGAGUUCGAGCUCAACUACUUGUCGAUCGAUCAGUACCCAUGCGACCACGUUUUCCACUCCGACAUCUUCUCCGCCGGAGGGUACGAAUGGCGGAUAGCCUGCUACCCGAACGACGUCGGAAGCUUCGUGUCCGUGUUCCUCGAGCUCAUGGACGAAGCCAAGAACGUCACGGCCAUCUUCGACGCCGCCAUUACGGGCAACGACCAGCUGGCGGCGGGGGCGUCACGCUUCUUGUGGCACAGGCGGGCCGUGCAUGUCUUCGGCUUCAGUAACUCACCUGAGGACGACCACCGCGAUAAUGACUUCUGGGGGUUCGAUCAGUUCGUCCACCAGAGAGAUCUCCACAACUACGACGCGAGGAGCAAUGGGCGCGUCACGGUCAGGUGCUCGGUCUUGGUUGUCGACGACGGCAAGCGCCUCCCAAUGAAAAAGGGGAUAGCCGUGCCGCCGUCGGACAUAGGAGAUGAUCUCGGCGGCCUGCUGGACUCCGCCGCACUGACGGACGUGUCGUUCGUCGUGGGCGACGACCAGGCGGCGCCGCUGCGCGCCCACCGUUCUGUUCUCGCCGCCCGCUCGCGGGUCUUCAAGGCGAUGUUCAGCGGCCCGAUGCUGGAGGCCACCUCGCCGUCGUCGCCCGUCACGGUGCGCGACAUGGACCCCGAGACGUUCAUGGCGAUGCUCCGCUUCAUAUACACGGACGACCUUCCCGCCGGUCUUGGAGGCGACCCCGGCGAGGACGAGGCGCUCCGGUCCCUUCUUGCCGCGGCGGACCGGUACGCCCUGAACCGGCUGAAGCUUCUGUGCGCCCGGAGGCUGCUGGACAACGUGUCGGUGGACACGGUCGCCGCCGUGUUGGACUGUGCCGACACGUACAACUGCCCGGAGCUGAAGACAGAGUGCAUCAACUUCGUGGUGGCGGAUGGGAAUUUCAAGAAGGUCGCGCUCACGGAUGGUUUCUUGGAGUUGAUGACGAGAUCCCCCUCAAUACUUGCUGAAAUUAGAAACAGGCUUGGGAGGCCGUAA